UUGGAUCACCUCCUAACAGGGAGACAAACAAUGAUUUUGAUGUCUGAGUUAUUUAUUCUUAGGCCAAAAUCCUGUCACUUAGGUCGAUCGGUACCUCAACUUUUUAGCUAAGAGAGUUCCAGCAAUGGUUGUCUGCUUAGUGGAGAUUUUUAGUUCCUAAACUUUGUCUAGUUCACAACCCAUUAGGGAUGAGACUCCUGGGCCAUUAGCUCAGGUGGUUAGAGCGCACCCCUGAUAAGGGUGAGGUCCCUGGUUCAAGUCCAGGAUGGCCCAUUCGGUGUAGGGGGUUUAGCUCAGUUGGUAGAGCGCCUGCUUUGCAAGCAGGAUGUCAGGAGUUCGAGUCUCCUAACCUCCACUGACUACCAAAAUCCCCAUCUCCAAAACCUGGAGUAUGAACUCGUAUGGAUUGUGAUUUAGAUUUGUCCGCUAGAUGACCCUAGCUUCUUGUCAUUUUAAGGAAUGGAAAUGAUUCCGUGAUUUGAUUGAUAGGAUGCUGGGCUCGAUGCAAUGUAUUGAGAGAUCAAUGCAUUGUUUUGAUGUCUAGCCGAACCUUGACAACUGCAUAGUUUAAGUCUGGAAAGAAUAAAGCAUCUUUAUGGAUGCAUCAUUUUUUCGUGUUUACGCAUGAAGGAGUGAUGUUAAUUCUAAAGCAAGAGCCGAGACUCCAGUAUGUUCUUUCAAAUGUGUCGAGCAUUUGAGAGUUUGAUUUUAAUUUCUAAUUUUAGAUUCUAAUUUUAGAAAUUAGAAGAAUCUGUUUCAACAACAGCAAGCGUGCUGGAGAUACAUUGGUCAAGCUACAAAGGGCUCACGGCGGAUACCUUGGCACACAGAGGCGAUGAAGGA
rnacentral:tRNA from 1 species